UACGUAGGGGGCGAGCGUUGUCCGGAAUUAUUGGGCGUAAAGAGCUCGUAGGCGGCUUGUCGCGUCGAUUGUGAAAGCUCGGGGCUUAACCCCGGGUCUGCAGUCGAUACGGGCAGGCUAGAGUUCGGUAGGGGAGACUGGAAUUCCUGGUGUAGCGGUGAAAUGCGCAGAUAUCAGGAGGAACACCGGUGGCGAAGGCGGGUCUCUGGGCCGAUACUGACGCUGAGGAGCGAAAGCGUGGGGAGCGAACAGG
rnacentral:rRNA from 1 species